rnacentral:rRNA from 1 species
ACGGAGGGUGCGAGCGUUGUCCGGAAUCACUGGGCGUAAAGGGCGCGUAGGCGGCCUGGUAAGGCUGUGGUGAAAGCCCGGGGCUCAACCCCGGGUCUGCCGUGGCGACUGCUGGGCUGGAGCACUGUAGAGGCGGGUAGAAUUCCGGGUGUAGCGGUGGAAUGCGUAGAGAUCCGGAAGAAUACCGGUGGCGAAGGCGGCUCACUGGACUGGUAUUGACGCUGAGGUGCGAAAGCGUGGGGAGCAAACAGGA